UACGUAGGGUGCAAGCGUUGUCCGGAAUUAUUGGGCGUAAAGAGCUCGUAGGCGGUUUGUCGCGUCGAAUGUGAAAACCCGGGGCUCAACCCCGGGCCUGCAUUCGAUACGGGCAGACUAGAGUGUGGUAGGGGAGAUCGGAAUUCCUGGUGUAGCGGUGGAAUGCGCAGAUAUCAGGAGGAACACCGGUGGCGAAGGCGGCUACCUGGCCCAUUCUUGACGCUGAGGCGCGAAAGCUAGGGGAGCAAACGGG
rnacentral:rRNA from 1 species